GACGAACGCUGGCGGCGUGCCUAAUACAUGCCAGUAGAACGCACAGUUUAUACCGUAGCUUGCUACACCAUAAACUGUGAGUUGCGAACGGGUGAGUAACGCGUAGGUAACCUGCCUGGUAGCGGGGGAUAACUAUUGGAAACGAUAGCUAAUACCGCAUAAUAUUGAUUAUUGCAUGAUAAUUGAUUGAAAGAUGCUAUUGCAUCACUACCAGAUGGACCUGCGUUGUAUUAGCUAGUAGGUGAGGUAACGGCUCACCUAGGCGACGAUACAUAGCCGACCUGAGAGGGUGAUCGGCCACACUGGGACUGAGACACGGCCCAGACUCCUACGGGAGGCAGCAGGAGGGAAUCUUCGGCAAUGGACGAAAGUCUGACCGAGCAACGCCGCGUGAGUGAAGAAGGGUUUCGGAUCGUAAAGCUCUGUUGUAAGAGAAGAACGGGUGUGAGAGUGGAAAGUUCACACUGUGACGGUAUCUUACCAGAAAGGGACGGCUAACUACGUG
rnacentral:rRNA from 1 species